CAGUCGCCGCGGUAACACGAAGGGGGCUAGCGUUGUUCGGAUUUACUGGGCGUAAAGCGCACGUAGGCGGACUUUUAAGUCAGGGGUGAAAUCCCGGGGCUCAACCCCGGAACUGCCUUUGAUACUGGAAGUCUUGAGUAUGGUAGAGGUGAGUGGAAUUCCGAGUGUAGAGGUGAAAUUCGUAGAUAUUCGGAGGAACACCAGUGGCGAAGGCGGCUCACUGGACCAUUACUGACGCUGAGGUGCGAAAGCGUGGGGAGCAAACAGGAUUAGAGACCCCGGUAGUCCCUGUCUCUUAUAC
rnacentral:rRNA from 1 species